rnacentral:rRNA from 1 species
GACGUAGGGCGCGAGCGUUGUCCGGAUUUACUGGGCGUAAAGAGCUCGUAGGCGGCUUGUCGCGGCGUCCGUGAAAACCCACAGCUCAACUGUGGGCUUGCGGUCGAUACGGGCAGGCUAGAGUUCGGUAGGGGAGACUGGAAUUCCUGGUGUAGCGGUGAAAUGCGCAGAUAUCAGGAGGAACACCGGUGGCGAAGGCGGGUCUCUGGGCCGAUACUGACGCUGAGGAGCGAAAGCGUGGGGAGCGAACAGG